UACGGAGGGUGCAAGCGUUAAUCGGAAUUACUGGGCGUAAAGCGUGCGCAGGCGGUUUGUUAAGUCCGUUGUGAAAGCCCCGAGCUCAACUUGGGAAUUGCAGUGGAUACUGGCAGGCUGGAGUACGGUAGAGGAAGGUGGAAUUCCCGGUGUAGCAGUGAAAUGCGUAGAUAUCGGGAGGAACACCUGUGGCGAAAGCGGCUCACUGGACCAUAACUGACGCUGAUGCACGAAAGCUAGGGGAGCAAACAGG
rnacentral:rRNA from 1 species